rnacentral:rRNA from 1 species
UGGGGAAUUUUGGACAAUGGGCGCAAGCCUGAUCCAGCAAUGCCGCGUGCAGGAUGAAGGCCUUCGGGUUGUAAACUGCUUUUGUACGGAGCGAAAAGGUCUGCCCUAAUACGGUGGGCUCAUGACGGUACCGUAAGAAUAAGCACCGGCUAACUACGUGCCAGCAGCCGCGGUAAUACGUAGGGUGCGCGCGUUAAUCGGAAUUACUGGGCGUAAAGCGUGCGCAGGCGGUUAUGCAAGACAGAGGUGAAAUCCCCGGGCUCAACCUGGUACCUGCAUUUGUGACUGUAUAGCUAGAGUACGGUAGAGGGGGAUGGAAUUCCGCGUGUAGCAGUGAAAUGCGUAGAUAUGCGGAGGAACACCGAUGGCGAAGGCAAUCCCCUGGACCUGUACUGACGCUCAUGCACGAAAGCGUGGGGAGCAAACA